AUAUCAAUCUUUUUCUCAAAAUGCUCGCUCUUCUUCCUCAUACUCAUUCUACACAAACAAAAGGUAUGAAUAAAUGUUGUUUCGUACUUUCGGUUGUAAAUUCUGGACGAAUUGAUAAUUUUGUUGGCCAAUGGGGGUUCUCUUCUCAACUGUCCUCUGCUAGCUGUUUCGAAGUUCCAACUAUCUUUUGGAUGAGUUCUUUCAACUUUUCAUCCACUUUUCUACAUUCUUCAUGAUGCAGUUUCAGGUCCUAAUCUUUUUUUCAUGGAACAAAUAUGUUUACUCUUUGUCCAGAAAUUUCUACCUGCCGCCAGUGGUUUAAAAUAUCAAAAAGGACUUUUUUAAGCUCUGAAACAUGAAAACUUGUUAUUUGAGUUUUUAAAGUUGUGAUUCUUGAAAUUUGCAGUUGUGUUUGGACCUUCUUUUACUUGAAAUUUUCAUUUGAUGUUUUGUUAGCGGAAGUCCCAAAAUUUCAAAAUUGGUCUAAAUUGGUUUAUACCAACUUGAAAAUACCUAAAGAUAAAAAUCUUGGCCAAACAAAUAUCUAAAGAUCAAAAUGUUUGGUCAAAUUUCAUGCUUGUGUGGUUCAUAAUGUUAUUAUUUUUUUAUCUACAACUUUGGCAUGUGAACAAAUUGUUUGCAUCUUUAGCAAGCAAAGCUUAUUUGAUCAUAAAGCUUAGUAGGUGCUGCCUGCCUUUCUUUGUAAAGACUUACUUCGGGUGAUAGCUACAUAUAGAUUGUUAUACUUUUGUUUAUUACUUUUACUUAACUUACAUAGGCUUGAUGCUUUGGCUCUAAGAUGAAUAGAUAUGAAUGACGAAAUAAGGUCUUAUACGGAUUAAGAUAUGAAACAUCUUGCAUUAUUUGGGCUGAGCAACUUCAUUUUCGAUAUAGUUUUGUGCAUUCAUUGAGUCACUUCUAGAUUUAAUUACAUGCUAUGCAACGAGGAAAUCAUGAUAAAUUGUAGAAAGUAGACAAAUGCACGUGCGCUAAUACAUUGUGGUGCAUGACAUGAUUGCUUUUGAUUUAUUUACAACAUGAAUAUUUUUAACUCGGAGAUGUUGCAGUUCAAAUCAAAAUUUCCACGUGAAGUUUUGCUCUGUAGAGUAUGAUUUUAUCGCUUCCAUUUACUCUUCUUUAAAAUGUGCUUGAAAGUCACGUAUCAGUUCCUCAACCAUAGAGGAUUGCUGUUAUUAAAAUCAAUUACGAGUGCUUCUUGAUCUUCUUCGACUUUCCAGGUGGGUGAUUUUUAUGAAGCAAUUGGAUUUGAUGCUUGUAUUCUUGUGGAAUAUGCUGGUUUAAAUCCAUUUGGUGGCCUGCGCUCAGAUAGUAUACCAAAAGCUGGUUGUCCAGUUGUGGUUGAGAUGCUCAGUCUCAUUAGACAUCCGAAUCUGGUGCUACUAUUAGGUGCAUGUCCUGAGUAUGGGUGUUUAGUUUUAUGAGCUUAUGAACAAUGGAAGCUUGGAAGAUAGUAUUUUUUUCGGAAAGGUAAUCCCCCUUCAAUUCCAUGAGAAAUACCCCUUAAAGUUGUUGCUGAGAUUGCAACCGGGCUUCUAUUCCUUCACCAAUCAAAACAUUGUCCAGCGCUAAAGCCAGAAAAUAUUCUGUUGGACAAAAAUUAUGUCUGCAAAAUCAGUGGUGUUGGUUUUGCAAGGUUAGUGCCACCAUCUGUAGCCGAUAGUGUGACACAAUAUCACAUGACUUCAGCUGCCAGGACUUUUUAUUAUAUAGAUCCUGAAUAUCAACAAACCGGAAAGUUAGAGACUAAUUCAGAUAUAUAUCUUCGCUUGGUGUGAUGUUGCUCCAAAUUAUUACUGCAAGGCCACCAAUGGGCUUAACUCACCACGUUGAGAGGGCCAUCGAGAAAGGUUAGUUUACAGAUUUUUAGAUUCAACAAUGCCAAACUGUCCAGUGGAAGGGGCUCUUACGUUUGCAAAAUUGUCACUCAAAUGUGCUGGGCUAAGGAAGAAAGAUAGACCAGAUCUUGGUUCAGUUAUUGUGCCUGAGCUUAAUAAGCUUUAGUGAAUUUGGAAUGAGCAGCAUGUUACUUGCAGUUUAAAAUAGCUAAUUCAACACACUUUCCUAAAGUAUUGCUAGCUUUCUCUCUUACCAUUACUUCGUAAUCCCAUUUAAUAGGAAAUUUAGACGAUGAUCUUUGAAAAAUAAUGUGACAUGUAUGUAGUCUCUUUCUUUAUCAAAUAGAAACAUUAAUUUGUUAGUGAAAUUUUAUUUUACUUAGUUGACAUGAAGUCUCUUCCUGUGUAAUUAAUAGAAACAUUAUAUUAGAUGUGCAAAGGUGAGAAAGAUAGUGGCUAUAAUUACUACUACAUUAGAAUUAAGCUAAUUUCAACAUGCCUGAUUUUCUGCAUAUAUUAAACAUUAAACUAGUUAAAUUUUUUCAAGAAUCUCAUUUGUCUAUAUCCUCGUGCUUCUUUUUUUCAUCUUUUUUUCACCUAUGAGAUACAAAUACUAACAAUUGAUACUUUAUAACUGUGCAGGUACUUUUUGCUAAAUGCUGCCUAGAAGUUAUAAACAUCACUAUUUCCAAUAUAUAAAUAGUAUAGCAUGUAAAUAUGUGAUGUAAAUAAUGCAGUAACGAAUGUAAACAUUAGAACAUUUGUCAGCUAUAUAAUAUCUAAGUGUAAAUAAUAUGUCGUCAGGCUAACAACAAUGAUCUAACGUUGGUCCCGUUUGAAUUAAUUCAAGUCAUCCUUUCAGGUAGAAAAUACCAUUACAUGUGUAACCAUAAUGGUGAAUUCCAAGACCUGUAGCCGAAAAUGGCGUCUCUAAAUGGGAGCAAACAUUGUUGAACCUGAAACAAGAAGACGCAAUGGACAUUGGUCAUUGUAUGAAGUAGCAAGGAAAAAUUGAAGGUGUUGGCACAAAGAUAACAUGCAAUCAAACCAUAACAAGUAAAGGAAGUUCUCUGUCACAGGCAUGGCAUGUCCUAGAAGUGAAAAAUCCACAUGCGGAAAAACUAUCACAAGGUUGCUAAUUAAGAGGACGUUUGCUCAUAUGCCCGUGUAUUAUUUCUAGAUCAAGUAAUUGAUACGAGUAACUUUUCCACGGAACAAGGACACCCUCCUCCCUUCGCUUGCAUAUUUUGCAUUUCUAUGUAUUAAUCAUUUAUAAGUUUUUCUUUACUUUCCUAAAUUUUACCUCUUUCCACUUUAGAUAGAGAUCUGGACUCUUUUUGUUUGCAGGUCUUUUUUUAAUAAUACUAAUGUUUCUAUAGCUCAAGUAGAAUACUGAAAUAUAUUUUGUGAACCUGUGUAUUUUCAUUUUAAACUUGAAAAUAGAAAUGGCCAUAUUCAAUCCUUUUGCCAA